rnacentral:rRNA from 1 species
GACGAACGCUGGCGGCGUGCUUAACACAUGCAAGUCGAACGGAAAGGCCCUGCUUUUGUGGGGUGCUCGAGUGGCGAACGGGUGAGUAACACGUGAGUAACCUGCCCUUGACUUUGGGAUAACUUCAGGAAACUGGGGCUAAUACCGGAUAGGAGCUCCUGCUGCAUGGUGGGGGUUGGAAAGUUUCGGCGGUUGAGGAUGGACUCGCGGCUUAUCAGCUUGUUGGUGGGGUAGUGGCUUACCAAGGCUUUGACGGGUAGCCGGCCUGAGAGGGUGACCGGCCACAUUGGGACUGAGAUACGGCCCAGACUCCUACGGGAGGCAGCAGUGGGGAAUAUUGCACAAUGGGCGGAAGCCGGAUGCAGCAACGCCGCGUGCGGGAUGACGGCCUUCGGGUUGUAAACCGCUUUCGCCUGUGACGAAGCGUGAGUGACGGUAAUGGGUAAAGAAGCACCGGCUAACUACGUG